rnacentral:rRNA from 1 species
GAUGAACGCUGGCGGCGUGCCUAAUACAUGCAAGUCGAACGGGCUCUUCGGAGCUAGUGGCGAACGGGUGAGUAACACGUUGGUACCUACCCCUAAGUGGGGAAUAACUGCCCGAAAGGGUGGCUAAUACCGCAUAAUCCCGCAAGGGUAAAGCAGUAAUGCGCUUAGGGAGGGGCCUGCGUCCCAUUAGCUUGUUGGUAGUGUAAUGGACUACCAAGGCGACGAUGGGUAGCUGGAUCGAGAGGUUGACCAGCCACACUGGGACUGAGAUACGGCCCAGACUCCUACGGGAGGCAGCAGUAAGGAAUCUUCCACAAUGGACGAAAGUCUGAUGGAGCAACGCCGCGUGCAGGAUGACGGCCUUCGGUUGUAAC